rnacentral:rRNA from 1 species
AGUGAACGCUGGCGGUAGGCCUAACACAUGCAAGUCGAACGGCAGCACAGUAAGAGCUUGCUCUUACGGGUGGCGAGUGGCGGACGGGUGAGGAAUACAUCGGAAUCUACUUUUUCGUGGGGGAUAACGUAGGGAAACUUACGCUAAUACCGCAUACGACCUACGGGUGAAAGCAGGGGAUCUUCGGACCUUGCGCGAUUGAAUGAGCCGAUGUCGGAUUAGCUAGUUGGCGGGGUAAAGGCCCACCAAGGCGACGAUCCGUAGCUGGUCUGAGAGGAUGAUCGGCCACACUGGAACUGAGACACGGCCCAGACUCCGACGGGAGGCAGCAGGGGGGAAUAUUGCACAAUGGGCGAAAGCCUGACCCAGCCAUGCCGCGUGGGUGAAGAAGGCCUUCGGAUUGUAAAGCUCUUUUUUUGGGAAAGAAAAGAAGCGGUUGUAACCCCGCUUUUCCUGACGGUACCAAAAGAGAAAGCCCCGGCUAACUUCGUG